rnacentral:rRNA from 1 species
AUUGAACGCUGGCGGCAUGCCUUACACAUGCAAGUCGAACGGCAGCACGGGUGCUUGCACCUGGUGGCGAGUGGCGAACGGGUGAGUAAUACAUCGGAACAUGUCCUGUAGUGGGGGAUAGCCCGGCGAAAGCCGGAUUAAUACCGCAUACGAUCUACGGAUGAAAGCGGGGGACCUUCGGGCCUCGCGCUAUAGGGUUGGCCGAUGGCUGAUUAGCUAGUUGGUGGGGUAAAGGCCUACCAAGGCGACGAUCAGUAGCUGGUCUGAGAGGACGACCAGCACACCGGGACUGAGACACGGCCCAGACUCCUACGGGAGGCAGCAGUGGGGAAUUUUGGACAAUGGGCGAAAGCCUGAUCCAGCAAUGCCGCGUGUGUGAAGAAGGCCUUCGGGUUGUAAAGCACUUUUGUCCGGAAAGAAAUCCUUGGCCCUAAUACGGUCGGGGGAUGACGGUACCGGAAGAAUAAGCACCGGCUAACUACGUG